CACCUCCUACCCCACCCUCCUUUCUGGUGACAGGGAGAGUAUAAAUUUUAGCUGGGCUCUGUCCCUGCACCACACCAGAGGCCAACAUGAAGACAGUCACCGUCUUUGUUCUGCUGGCUUUUGUCAUCAUGGGGCUGGAGGUGGCCUGGGCUCAGAAGUCUCCUGGCAAAGGACGACAGAGACCUGGAUUCUGCCCAGAGUUGCCCAAAGGUACUAUCGGAACUUGUGUCGAAUUGUGCUCAGGAGAUGAUUCCUGUCCCAGGGGAAUGAAAUGCUGCAGUCAUGGGUGUGGUCAUUCCUGCACAACUCCUGUCUUCAGAAAGGGUGGCUCUGGUGGCCACGGGAAAGUUGGGCAGAAGGUUAACUGAGCAUGCCUGGAGACCAGCCCCAGAAGAUUUCUCAUGAAUCCAUGGAUUCGGUGCUUGGCAUAACUACAAGACUUUCACAUCCAUUCCCGACUCUUUUCUAUGCCUGGAAUUGUAGCCCUGGAAGAUGAAGAUCUCAAAUGGUGGGAUGACUGCUUUCUAAAGAGCCUGUGUGGAAAAUAAACUAAAUCUGGAGCAUA